GAGGUCCAGCCUGCCCAGUGACAAUAAGUUCAACGGCCGCGGUAUUUUGACCGUGCAAAGGUAGCGUAAUCACUUGUCUUUUAAAUAAAGACCUGUAUGAAUGGCUAAACGAGGGCUUAACUGUCUCCCCUUUCAAGUCAGUGAAAUUGAUUAACCCGUGCAGAAGCGGGAAUGAUAAUACAAGACGAGAAGACCCUUUGGAGCUUGAGGUACAAGACUCAGCCACGUUAAACAACUGAAUGAAAAGCAAAAACUUUGUGGAACAUGAAAUUUUACCUUCGGUUGGGGCGACCACGGAGGAAAAAUAAGCCUCCAAGUGGACUGGGAAAACUUAUAUUCCUAAAACCAAGAGAGACAUCUCUAAGCCACAGAACAUCUGACCAAGCAUGAUCCGACUUGAAUAGUCGAUCAACGAACUAAGUUACCCUAGGGAUAACAGCGCAAUCCCCUCCCAGAGUCCAUAUCGACAAGGGGGUUUACGACCUCGAUGUU
rnacentral:rRNA from 1 species